GCCAGUGUGGUCUAGUGGUUUGAAUAUUGGACUGUGACUCUGGAGACCAGGGUUUGAUUCCCAGCUUGGCCA